CGCAUCUUUCCUAUCUCUUGUUCACACGUUUCAUAGGAAAAACAGCUUUCAUAAGUUCAUAAACCUUUGUUUUCUUUUAUUUUCUCGCCCUCUUUCACACUUUCUAGCUUCAAGAAUUCAAGAAUUUAAGAUCAAGAAUUCAAGAAUUCAUCUCUUAUGGCUCUUGAAGCUCUAAAUUCACCCACCACGGCCACUCCUAUAAACUAUGAGGAUACCUGGACCAAAAGGAAACGAUCCAAGAGGCCUCGUAGUGAAUCCCCUCCUACCGAGGAUGAGUAUCUCGCUCUCUGUCUCAUCAUGCUUGCUCGUGGUGGCGGCAAAGAAGCUUCAUCUUCAUCUCCACCGCCACCAAAACCGCCAGCUUUGACUCUGUCUUACAAGUGCACGGUUUGUGACAAAGUUUUCCCUUCUUAUCAAGCUCUUGGUGGACACAAGGCUAGCCAUAAAAAAUCUUCCUCUGAGACUGCCACUGUCACCGCCAACCAUAAUCCUUCUUCCUCCUCCACCUCUACCGCCACCGCCAACACUGCCAGUGGUAGGACCCAUGAGUGUUCUAUCUGCCAUAAGAGUUUUCCCACCGGUCAAGCCUUAGGUGGCCACAA
rnacentral:misc_RNA from 1 species